rnacentral:rRNA from 1 species
CAAGUCGAACGGCAGCACGGGAGCUUGCUCCUGGUGGCGAGUGGCGAACGGGUGAGUAAUAUAUCGGAACGUGCCCUAGAGUGGGGGAUAACUAGUCGAAAGAUUAGCUAAUACCGCAUACGAUCUAAGGAUGAAAGUGGGGGAUCGCAAGACCUCAUGCUCGUGGAGCGGCCGAUAUCUGAUUAGCUAGUUGGUGAGGUAAAGGCUCACCAAGGCGACGAUCAGUAGCUGGUCUGAGAGGACGACCAGCCACACUGGAACUGAGACACGGUCCAGACUCCUACGGGAGGCAGCAGUGGGGAAUUUUGGACAAUGGGCGCAAGCCUGAUCCAGCAAUGCCGCGUGAGUGAAGAAGGCCUUCGGGUUGUAAAGCUCUUUUGUCAGGGAAGAAACGGGUGAGGCUAAUAUCCUUGCCUAAUGACGGUACCUGAAGAAUAAGCACCGGCUAACUACGUGCCAGCAGCCGCGGU